rnacentral:piRNA from 1 species
UAAAACUGUCCCAUGUACAAUGCCAUGGUC